CGGAGCGUAGCUCAGCCUGGUAGAGCACUGCUUUCGGGAGGCAGGGGUCGCGUGUUCGAAUCACGCCGCUCCGACCA
rnacentral:tRNA from 1 species